rnacentral:rRNA from 1 species
UACGGGGGGGGCAAGCGUUGCUCGGAAUCACUGGGCGUAAAGGGUGCGUAGGCGGGUCUUUAAGUCAGGGGUGAAAUCCUGGAGCUCAACUCCAGAACUGCCUUUGAUACUGAAGAUCUUGAGUCCGGGAGAGGUGAGUGGAACUGCGAGUGUAGAGGUGAAAUUCGUAGAUAUUCGCAAGAACACCAGUGGCGAAGGCGGCUCACUGGCCCGGUACUGACGCUGAGGCACGAAAGCGUGGGGAGCAAACAGG